AAUUUGUUAAAGACUUCACCAUGCUUGCCUUCACAGAAGAGGAUACCGAACUCCAUGAGCAAACUGUUGCUGCAGAAGAGCAAGAGAUUGAUGUCAUCGACCUCAUUCAGCCAACAGACAAAGAAAUGCCCCUAGAAAAAGACUUUCGAUCCUGGUCUGUGAAAGAAACGACUAUUUGGCUAAGAACAGUUGGAUGUGAGGAAGUUGUCACAGCUUGUUUUAUUGGUGGGUUUGCACAGUCACUGCAUGCUUGAGGCACUAAUGAACAAAGUUGCACACUCCCUGUUGUUCUAGAUAAAGACAUUGAUAGAGAAGCGCUGCAACUAAUGACAGAAGAGUCCAGACUUGUAGAAAUUGGAGUCAAAAAGAUGGGGGCAAGACUCAGACUUAUAGAGAGAAUUGAAGAACUGAAGACACAAAUAACGGAAGUACAAGAGAAAAGCGAAUCAGCACCAAUGGACUUCGAUUGCAUGUCAAACUUCUAUGGCAAGCUACCAAAGGAACGGCAAGCGUUUCUGAAAGCCCACCGUCCUUGGCUGUACAACCAGUACGUGCACAGUAAGUGUACAUGCACGUUCAAAAAUACAACCUCCGCUGUCUUUAAUUCACUCUAUGUUGAUCUAGGCAAACGAUUCAUCAGAAGUGAAGUGCGCAAACACCUCCCCAUCGCCACCACAUUUGCGUCGGCGAGAGAGCAAGAGAAGCUGGAAGGGCUGGUCAAGAACCUUGAAAGCAAGUGCUCUGUGCCAGAAAUCGGGUUUGGACUAGGUACGUAGUCUCUGAAGCACACUCGUAAUUACAGUAAAAUUAGUAUAGUAAUUAUUAGAGUGUCCUCACCUCAUUGAUUUGUAGUUGGAAUCCGCUACCAUGCCAUCCAGACUACUAGAGAAGCUAGGAGACGUCAGAAAGAAAAGGCGAGAAGACCGAACGGGGCUGAAGAAACGACCAAAAGCUCCCUCAACGACAGGUUGGCUCACAAGACUGCUGUGACAGCUCACAACGUGGACGAGCACGAGUCUAGUAAUGACCCUGAGGAGGAUGGACAACCAGCUGCAAGUUCUGGCGAAACCAGACAUAGCAGAAAACGACCAGCAGAUGCAGCAUUGGAAGAGCCGCCGCCGAGAAUUUUUUCUUGCUCAUCGAUUGGAAGAGGUCGCCGUGGCGAAAGACAAUCCCUAGACAGCCUAGGGAUCGCUCCGACGGACACGAGCGACCUCACGGCAACGAAUGACAACCAUCCUGGAGAUGAAUUGUCGCAGCGGGACAGCAACAUCAUCGUGGCUGCAGUCUUGAAGCUGCCAAGCGUCAAGGACGCAGUCAUGGGCAAGCUUCGUCUUCUAGCUAGGCAGCUAGGAGUACCACGCUACUCGUCCAAAGACAAAAAUUGGCUAGUUCUGGAGCUAGCCAGGCUGUCGGUUCAACAGGGCUGGGUAAAGAACCUUGGGAACAAGGACGUUCUUUCACCCGAGAACGUUUCUGUUACACGCUAUUUUGAAUAGUUACUGCGCAUGUGUGAAUUUUUGUUGUACACUAUACGUGUAUGUACUGUAGUCUAGGUGAUUAGCUGAUUAGAGUGUUUAAUUGAAAAUAUAGACACUAUUCAACCGUUUGCAAUCAGCGCUCCCAUACAAGGGUUAAAUGGGUUGUUGGCGUUUUGGGGGGUUCUGGGGGUUCCAUGGGUUAUUGGGGUUCCAUGGAUUAUUGGGGUUCCAUGGGUUCUAGAGGUUCUUGACGCAUGGGUUAUCAUGGGUAAUGCGCAAAUUCUGAGUUAUUCAAAACCCAGAUAUAAUAACCAAUGUGGGUUUUGAGUGGCUUUUGUCCGGUUUUGUAGGCAUUUUACGAAAACCCGGCUAGGGUUAAUGGGUCAUUAACCCAACCGGGUUUCGCUACUUUCCCUAGGAAAACCCUACCUAAAGCCAUGAAAAAACAAUGUGGGUUUCGCGGCAUAUUCCCUGUGCCUGAGAAAGAAGUUUCAUAUUACCAUUUUUCUAACAAAUUUCCAAACACUAUUAUUGAAACCCACACAUCUCUAACCUUUCCCCACAGGAUACUCCAGAGCACACAGUAACCACAGUCGAAGCAGAGACCACUACAACGACAAACGCCGUCGCACUUCGUCACCGAGAAACAAGGUAAGGAGUCAACUCAUAUUUCUUACCAUAUCUCAUAAUCAUUACCUUAAGUCAUUACGAGAACACUACAACCAGACCACAACAACCCUAAAAGAAGAUUUGAAGACAAUAGACACUGCAUUACAAACUAACAUGAGCCGCAUUGACCCACAUCAGACAACGGAUCUAUUACAAACCGUCACAGAAUCAGUCGUGAAAACAGAUGAGGAUUUAAAAGGCCAACGACAAGCCUCGCAGAAAAGAUUAGCCACACUAAGAAACCUCAAACGAAACCGACGUGACAAUAGGGACAAUGACAGGCAUGGUGGCAGCACGACUGGCCCAGUCAAACGAACAAACACAAGGACACUCCCUUCCUGGACAAUCCAGACAACAGAUGGACACAAGAACAAGAGAUGAUGAGCCCCUGAGUAAGAAGUUUCAUAUUACCAUUUUUCUAACAAAUUUCCAAACACUAUUAUUGAAACCCACACAUCUCUAACCUUUCCCCACGGGAUACUCCAGAGCACACAGUAACCACAGUCGAAGCAGAGACCACUACAACGACAAACGCCGUCGCACUUCGUCACCGAGAAACAAGGUAAGGAGUCAACUCAUAUUUCUUACCAUAUCUCAUAAUCAUUACCUUAACUCAUUACGAGAACACUACAACCAGACCACAACAAUCCUAAAAGAAGAUUUGAAGACAAUAGACACUGCAUUACAAACUAACAUGAGCCGCAUUGACCCACAUCAGACAACGGAUCUAUUACAAACCGUCACAGAAUCAGUAGUGAA